rnacentral:ncRNA from 2 species
UACGUAGGGUGCAAGCGUUGUCCGGAAUUAUUGGGCGUAAAGAGCUCGUAGGCGGUCUGUCGCGUCGGAUGUGAAAAUCCAGGGCUCAACCCUGGACCUGCAUUCGAUACGGGCAGACUAGAGUUCGGUAGGGGAGACUGGAAUUCCUGGUGUAGCGGUGAAAUGCGCAGAUAUCAGGAGGAACACCGGUGGCGAAGGCGGGUCUCUGGGCCGAUACUGACGCUGAGGAGCGAAAGCGUGGGGAGCAAACAGG